rnacentral:rRNA from 1 species
GACAGAGGUGCCAAGCGUUAGGCGGAAUCACUGGGCUUAAAGCGUGUGUAGGCGGAUGCCUAAGUACCUUGUGAAAUCCCACGGCUCAACCGUGGAACUGCUUGGUAUACUGGGUGUCUUGAGCCAUCUAGGGGCUACCGGAACAAAUGGUGGAGCGGGUGAAAUGCGUAGAUAUCAUUUGGAACGCCAAUGGUGAAAACAGGUAGCUGGGGAUGUGCUGACGCUGAGACACGAAAGCCAGGGGAGCAAACGGG